rnacentral:rRNA from 1 species
CCCCUAGACGUUCUGGGCUGCACGCGCGCUGCAAUAAUACGCACAGCGAGUAUCACCGAGCUCGAAAGGGCAAGGUAAACAAUAGAAAAGGUACUGUAAUGGUUAUAGAUCCUUGUAAUUAUUGAUCUUCAACGAGGAAUUCCUAGUAAGUAUGUGUCAUCAUCACGCACUGAUUACGUCCCUGCCCUUUGUACACACCGCCCGUCGCUCCUACCGAUUGAGUGAGCCGAUGAAACUGCCGGAUGUGGACUAUUCAUAGUCUGCAGAAGAUAUUUGAAUCGUAGCGCUUAGAGGAAGGAGAAGUCGUAACA